CUGGUCUCCAUCUACUCUGGGAACCUCUUGGCAUCAGUAGCAUCCCAUGGCAAGGAGUGCCACGGCUCUGCCUUCAGUUCAGCACUGCAUUUGUGUUGGUUUGAACCUUGCUGCUGUCAGCUUCAUUUGGAGUAAAGCACUGCGAGCUUUUCCCAGGUCUCAUUCCCGUGUGCACUGAAGGGAACAGAGCUGCAGCCUGUGUUCAGGAGUCCCUGGAAAUCCUACUUCUCUUGAGGGAACUCAAAUCCUGGACUCUGCAUUUCUCUUCUCUCCAGCUAAAAGGGGUUCUUUCCCCAGCUGCCUGUUCCCAAAGAAGAAACCCUGCAGAAGGGGAUGCAAACCCUGGUUCCUUUUGUCUUUGCUUUGCCCAGGAAUGCUGGCUGGACAUGGGAUCUGGAGAUUUAGAAAGGACAACAGAUGCUGAUGGAUGAGAGUGGAGCAAGCCCCGGAUGCGGUCCCAUGAGCACGCUUGGAGGCAUGAAGCAGCGACACCUCCCAUCUCGGGGAUGGGUGCUCCAUCUGAGGAAAACAAGGUACCAAAGUCCUUUAUAAGAAUGUCUUUUACAAGGUAACCAGAAAAGUGAAAUGUGUUAGGUAUGCCCUGCCAAUCAAAUGUCUCCUGAGAUCAGUUGGAUGUAGCGUGAAGGGAGGCAGGUAAUAUGACGGAAAAGAUUACCCAAGUACCAAAGCCUAUUUGCCAUGGUGAAGCAUCCCUGGAAUAGCAAGAUCCCCUGCCCAAGGGCACACAGGGGGGUUUGUGGCUGGGCUGCCAGGCAGCCAGCACUGGGCUAAGAAAGCCUUCACCAGUCCGAACCCAUCAAAUCCAAACCCCACAUCCCUAAACAUGGCUGUAGAUGAUGCCCACCUCUGCCUUGCUCCUCGCAUGACAGCUUCAUCAUUCCUAAGCGCUUUGGUUUGAAUUCAGUCAGGCUGUGAAAAUAUUCAUUUUAUCCCUAGCUCAGAUGUUGAAAUUGAAUGUCACUUAGAAGCAGAAACCCGGAAUUAUUCUGCGAGAAAAUGCUAAAAAGAGGUUCUUCAAAGUUUGGUCCAAAAAUAAAACCCAUUUUCCAG